rnacentral:rRNA from 1 species
AUUGAACGCUGGCGGCAUGCCUUACACAUGCAAGUCGAACGGUAACGGGUCUUCGGAUGCUGACGAGUGGCGAACGGGUGAGUAAUACAUCGGAACGUGCCUAGUAGUGGGGGAUAACUACUCGAAAGAGUGGCUAAUACCGCCUGAGAUCUACGGAUGAAAGCAGGGGAUCGCAAGACCUUGUGCUACUCGAGCGGCCGAUGGCAGAUUAGGUAGUUGGUGGGAUAAAAGCUUACCAAGCCGACGAUCUGUAGCUGGUCUGAGAGGACGAUCAGCCACACUGGGACUGAGACACGGCCCAGACUCCUACGGGAGGCAGCAGUGGGGAAUUUUGGACAAUGGGCGCAAGCCUGAUCCAGCAAUGCCGCGUGCAGGAUGAAGGCCUUCGGGUUGUAAACUGCUUUUGUACGGAACGAAAAGCCCCGGGUUAAUACCCUGGGGUCAUGACGGUACCGUAAGAAUAAGCACCGGCUAACUACGUGCCAGCCGCCGCCGUAA